rnacentral:rRNA from 1 species
AUACGGAGGAUGCGAGCGUUAUCCGGAUUUAUUGGGUUUAAAGGGAGCGUAGGUGGGAUAUUAAGUCAGCUGUGAAAGUUUGGGGCUCAACCUUAAAAUUGCAGUUGAUACUGGUUUCCUUGAGUACGGUACAGGUGGGCGGAAUUUGUGGUGUAGCGGUGAAAUGCUUUGAUAUCACGAAGAACUCCGAUCGCGAAGGCAGCUCACCGGGCCGGAACUGACACUGAUGCUCGAAAGUGCGGGUAUCAAACAGGAUUAGAUACCCUGGUAGUCCGCACAGUAAACGAUGAAUACUCGCUGUUUGCGAUACACGGUAAGCGGCCAAGCGAAAGCGUUAAGUAUUCCACCUGGGGAGUACGCCGGCAACGGUGAAACUCAAAGGAAUUGACGGGG